AUGAACGCUGGCGGCGUGCCUAAUACCUGCAAGUCGCGCGCACAGACGAGGAGCUUGCUCCUCUGACGUUAGCGGCGGACGGGUGAGUAACACGUGGAUAACCUACCUAUAAGACUGGGAUAACUUCGGGAAACCGGAGCUAAUACCGGAUAAUAUAUUGAACCGCAUGGUUCAAUAGUGAAAGACGGUUUUGCUGUCACUUAUAGAUGGAUCCGCGCCGCAUUAGCUAGUUGGUAAGGUAACGGCUUACCAAGGCGACGAUGCGUAGCCGACCUGAGAGGGUGAUCGGCCACACUGGAACUGAGACACGGUCCAGACUCCUACGGGAGGCAGCAGUAGGGAAUCUUCCGCAAUGGGCGAAAGCCUGACGGAGCAACGCCGCGUGAGUGAUGAAGGUCUUCGGAUCGUAAAACUCUGUUAUUAGGGAAGAACAAAUGUGUAAGUAACUAUGCACGUCUUGACGGUACCUAAUCAGAAAGCCACGGCUAACUACGUG
rnacentral:rRNA from 1 species